rnacentral:sRNA from 1 species
CUAGUCCGGACUCGCCGCCGCUGCCGCCAUAUUCCCGUGGCAUCUUCCUUACUUUGUCCAUCCUCCGGACUCGCGAUCUUCCUUCCGGAGCCAUGUCAGAAGGAGUGGACUUGAUUGAUAUAUAUGCUGACGAGGAGUUCAACCAGGACCCAGAGUUCAACAAUACAGAUCAGAUUGACCUGUAUGAUGAUGUGCUGACAGCCACCUCACAGCCCUCAGAUGACAGAAGCAGCAGCACUGAGCCACCUCCUCCUGUUCGCCAGGAGCCAUCUCCCAAGCCCAACAACAAGACCCCUGCAAUUCUGUAUACCUACAGUGGCCUGCGUAAUAGACGAGCUGCCGUCUAUGUGGGCAGCUUCUCCUGGGUGAGUGUGGGUAACCAAAAAUGCUUAUGGGUGGGCUGGAGGGAGAGCACUGGGAGGUGAUGGCAUUUUCAGAAACCACUGUUGCACUGUUUUGUGCUCUGAUGGGGUUGGAUUUCUUUUUCCUGGGAUCAGGUUGGAUUGAUCUCUGAAAGAGAACUAUCCUGAGGACGUACUGGUGCCGAAGAAAGCAAUGAUUAAGUGGGUAGUUGCUUUUUCUGCCAUCUUGUUACUGCCCCUGACCCUGGGGCUUUAUGUCUAGCAGGGUCAUCUGUGGGACGAGAUAUCAGAGUGAACACCUUGAACUCUUGGUGGUCAUUAGAUGGUCCUGUGAUAAUGGUGGGUGAUGGGGAUUAAACACCUUGAUAACUCUAGUAUACUUGGGGUAGGUGGUGACUGUUGUUCUGCAAGUUAUUUUGUGAUGUUUUGGGGCUGGUGGUGGGGGUGGUUUUUCCAAAUUAGGAAAUAUAUUUACUGUGAGGGAAGUUCUGGCAAUGGUCAACUCUAGCCUGUCAGAUCAAUAAUUAAAAAAUUGCUAGCUGUCAAUGUUUGAACUGAUGACCAGCCAGCCCAAAUGGCAGUCAAAGUUACAAUAAAUUUUAAUCUUCGUAAUCUCUAAAGAUAGAGAUUGGGGGUGAGUGGGUUUGGAAUUCUGUAUGGGUGCGGAGAAUAAGAAAAGUCUGCACUAAUUGAAAUAUUGCCAGGCUUUUGAGUUUCCUCUGGGGGGGACUUAGUUGUGACUAGAAUCCUGGGUUUGGGACAUUGGCGGGCGGGGGUGUAGCUCUUGACAUCUCUUCCUUUUCCAUCUUGCCGGCCCCAGUGGACCACAGACCAGCAGCUGAUCCAGGUUAUUCGCUCUAUAGGAGUCUAUGAUGUGGUGGAGUUGAAAUUUGCAGAGAAUCGAGCAAAUGGCCAGUCCAAAGGGUAUGCUGAGGUGGUGGUAGCCUCUGAAAACUCUGUCCACAAAUUGUUGGAACUCCUACCAGGGAAAGUUCUUAAUGGAGAAAAAGUGGACGUGAGGCCGGCCACCCGGCAGAACCUGUCACAGUUUGAGGCACAGGCUCGGAAACGUGAGUGUGUCCGAGUCCCAAGAGGGGGAAUACCUCCACGGGCCCAUUCCCGAGAUUCUAGUGAUUCUGCUGAUGGACGGGCCACACCCUCUGAGAACCUUGUACCCUCAUCUGCUCGUGUGGAUAAGCCCCCCAGUGUGCUGCCCUACUUCAAUCGUCCUCCUUCGGCCCUUCCCCUGAUGGGUCUGCCCCCACCACCAAUUCCACCCCCACCACCUCUCUCCUCAAGCUUUGGGGUCCCUCCUCCUCCUCCUGGUAUCCACUACCAGCAUCUCAUGCCCCCACCUCCUCGAUUACCUCCUCAUCUUGCUGUACCUCCCCCUGGGGCCAUCCCACCUGCCCUUCACCUCAAUCCAGCCUUCUUCCCCC